GUCUCGUAAUAAAUGCCUAACAUAAAAAAUUGGAAAAAUCAGCUGAGAUUAAUUUCACUGCUUCUUCAAGAUGUCCUUUGGAAAUUAGGUUAGAAAUUGUGUGCUGAAGAUGACAGAUUCUUGAAGAGAGAGCCUUCUGAAACAUUAGCAGAGGACCAUUAACAUUAGUUAUCUCAGACUACAUACAGUGGACGUAAAGAGGGCUUAAUGGAUCAUUGUUCUCACAAGAUACUUGUCAGUCUGAUGAAAAAGAUCGUCUUAUUUCCUGAUUUUCAUUUUGAUAUGGAAAGAAAGCAUGUCUGCCUGAACCUCAUUCAUCUAAGCUAAACAAGUUGAGCUGUCAUAGAGCACUCUUACAUGAGGAGCUGACCUUCCCCAGUUUCACAGAGCAAGUGGGAAGAAGAAAGAAAUUGAAAACUAUUAAAGGAAGACAACAGCGAUUAAUCUUUGGAAAAUGUUGGAAAGACACAGUAGCUGAGAAAAGCAAGGAAUUUUUCUAAUGAAACUUGGACAGGUAAAAUUUAAACUAGGAAGACUCCCUGAUAGUCAAGAGAAAACUAACACCUCCAGAAGAUGAUUCAUCUCAAGUGGAACAGAUUUGAUGAUCAU